rnacentral:rRNA from 1 species
UGAGUAACGCGUGGGCAAUCUGCCCCUAAGUCCGGGAUAACAGAGCGAAAGUUCUGCUAAGACCGGAUACUCUUCCCGGGUCGCAUGGCCUGGGAAGGAAAGGAUACGCUUAGGGAUGAGCCCGCGUCCCAUUAGCUAGUUGGUGAGGUAACGGCCCACCAAGGCGACGAUGGGUAGCCGGCCUGAGAGGGUGGACGGCCACACUGGGACUGAGACACGGCCCAGACUCCUACGGGAGGCAGCAGUAGGGAAUUUUCCGCAAUGGGGGAAACCCUGACGGAGCAACGCCGCGUGAGGGAAGAAGGUCUUCGGAUCGUAAACCUUUGUCAUCGAGGACGAUAAUGACGGUACUCGAGGAGGAAGCCCCGGCUAACUACGUGCCAGCAGCCGCGGUAACACGUAGGGGGCGAGCGUUGUCCGGAAUUACUGGGCGUAAAGGGCGCGUAGGCGGCUUAAUAAGUCUGAUGUGAA